rnacentral:rRNA from 1 species
CCUACGGGAGGCUGCAGUCGAGAAUCAUUCACAAUGGGGGAAACCCUGAUGGUGCGACGCCGCGUGGGGGAAUGAAGGUCUUCGGAUUGUAAACCCCUGUCAUGUGGGAGCAAAUUAAAAAGAUAGUACCACAAGAGGAAGAGACGGCUAACUCUGUGCCAGCAGCCGCGGUAAUACAGAGGUCUCAAGCGUUGUUCGGAAUCACUGGGCGUAAAGCGUGCGUAGGCUGUUUCGUAAGUCGUGUGUGAAAGGCGGGGGCUCAACCCGCGGACGGCACAUGAUACUGCGAGACUAGAGUAAUGGAGGGGGAACCGGAAUUCUCGGUGUAGCAGUGAAAUGCGUAGAUAUCGAGAGGAACACUCGUGGCGAAGGCGGGUUCCUGGACAUUAACUGACGCUGAGGCACGAAGUCCAGGGGAGCGAAAGGGAUUAGAUACCCCAGUAGUC